rnacentral:rRNA from 1 species
AGCAGCCGCGGUAAUUCCAGCUCCAAUAGCGUAUAUUAAAGUUGCUGCAGUUAAAAAGCUCGUAGUUGAAUUUCGGGACUAAUAUGUCGGUCGUGCCUCGGUACGUACUGGUAUUUUUGGUUUCUCCCUUCUGACGAACCUUGAUGUCAUUAAUUUGGUGUCUUGGGAAAUCAGGACUGUUACUUUGAAAAAAUUAGAGUGUUUAAAGCAGGCUCACGCUUGAAUACAUUAGCAUGGAAUAAUGAAAUAGGACGUUUGAUUCUAUUUUGUUGGUUUCUAGGAUCGACGUAAUGAUUAAUAGGGAUAGUUGGGGGCAUUAGUAUUCAGUUGUCAGAGGUGAAAUUCUUGGAUUUAUUGAAGACUAACUACUGCGAAAGCAUUUGCCAAGGAUGUUUUCAUUAAUCAAGAACGAAAGUUAGGGGAUCGAAGACGACCAGAUACCGUCGUAGUCUUAACCAUAAACU